GUGAACGCUGGCGGUAGGCCUAACACAUGCAAGUCGAACGGCAGCACAGUAAGAGCUUGCUCUUACGGGUGGCGAGUGGCGGACGGGUGAGGAAUACAUCGGAAUCUACUUUUUCGUGGGGGAUAACGUAGGGAAACUUACGCUAAUACCGCAUACGACCUACGGGUGAAAGCAGGGGAUCUUCGGACCUUGCGCGAUUGAAUGAGCCGAUGUCGGAUUAGCUAGUUGGCGGGGUAAAGGCCCACCAAGGCGACGAUCCGUAGCUGGUCUGAGAGGAUGAUCAGCCAAACUGGAACUGAGACACGGUCCAGACUCCUACGGGAGGCAGCAGUGGGGAAUAUUGGACAAUGGGCGCAAGCCUGAUCCAGCCAUACCGCGUGGGUGAAGAAGGCCUUCGGGUUGUAAAGCCCUUUUGUUGGGAAAGAAAAGCAGCAGGUUAAUACCCCGCUGUUCUGACGGUACCCAAAGAAUAAGCACCGGCUAGCUUCGUG
rnacentral:rRNA from 1 species